GAGAAUUUUUUCCUACAUACUUAUUGAUAUAUAGAUGGAAAGAUGUUGCUGGGAAGUCUCUGCAAAAGAUUCAAACCAUCAGGUUUUGGGGAAAGCACAACGAGACUUCACCAGUCACUCUGGGAUUCUCUGACAACCCUUCAUCUAGCAUAGUCUGCAACUCCUCCCACACUGUUUGCCACAUCUUCUGAAGCUUACCACUGAGAAAUCAGCAACUGGAUUAAAAACACAUUUGAUCAGAGAAUGCUACCA